rnacentral:lncRNA from 1 species
CAUUGGGGUAUCUAGUUUAAAAAUUGUGUCCCGUGACCUGGCUAAACAACCAAGAUGGCCGCCAUUGCUAAAAAUAGAACAUAGGGGUGAAAUGUAGAUUUUGGCUUAAAACUCUGAAACCGCAGCCUUUAGAGCAAAUCUGACAUGGGGUAAAAUUGUUUAUCAGGUCAACAUCUAUCUGCCCUGAAAUUUUCAGAUGAAUCUGACAACCUGUUGUUGGGUUGCUGCCCCUGAAUUGGUAAUUUUAAGGAAAUUUUGCUGUUUUUGGUUAUUAUCUUGAAUUUAUAUUAAGAGAUAAACUGUAAACAUCAAUAAUGUUAAGCAAAGUAAGAUUUACAAAUAAGUCAACAUGACGGAAAUGGUCAAUUGACCCCUAAGGAGUUAUUGUCCUUUAUAGUCAAUUUUUAACAAUUUUCAUAAAAUUUGUAAAUUUUAACUAACAUUUUCCACUGAAACUACUGGGCCAAGUUCAUUAUAGAUAGAGAUAAUUGUAAGUAGCAAGAAUGUUCAGUAAAGUAAGAUGUACAAGCACAUCACCAUCACCAAAACACAAUUUUGUCAUGAAUCCAUCUGCUUCCUUUGUUUAAUAUUCACAUAGACCAAGGUGAGCGACACAGGCUCUUUAGAGCCUCUAGUUUUAUACAAAUAUGACCGUUGGUUUUCCUGUUUGAGUGGUUUAUCACUAGUAAUGUUUCUGUUCCUAUAUAGCGUGGUGUUCGCUGUGAGCCAAUGCUCCAUGUUUAAGGUCCUACUUCGAUCUGUAAUGGUUUACUUAAAACAAAUUAAUACUUUGAUGGAAAGUUGUCUCAUUCGAACUCAUGCACCAUCUUCUUAUAUCUAUAAAUCUUUAAAAUUUCUCCUUAUAAAUAACUGCUUUUCAGUCCUCCAAAAACGUCAUUUGGGUUCUGAAUCUUUUGUAAAGUGCAAUAUAAACUAGCACACUUCUAAAGAUUUAACGGUAACGAGAAGUUAUGAUGGUACAAGAACGAUUACGUCAACAAAUUACCAAAUAAACAGCACUGAACGAUCUAAAUUUAUAAAUAUAGAAAAGAUACGGAUUGUUAUUUUGCACUAAGAAAUGUUCGCGUAUUUAUACGAUCGGUUACUAGUCAAAAACUAAAGUCAAAUCUGUGUGGUCACGGUCAUCGCGAUGUAAAAGAGCGUCCAUGCGGCGAGCUGAUUAUGUUCAUAGAGAUAUCGAUUUACCAACGGGAAAAGUCUGUGAUAUCCCAAAAGAACUGUUUUCCUUGUCAAUAUUUUUUUGUCUAUGUUAAUAAUAAACACAUCUUCUGUUUGACAAGAUGUUUGAUUUUCGUUGUAUCUGAAGUUGUUCAAUUUAUAGUUUGAGGCUACUCAGUUGGUAUCUUCAAAGUUCGGGACAUCAGCAUUUGUACAUUUUUAAUUUGUUUGGAAUAUUUAUUUUACCAUUUGAAUAUUCAUUGUUAUUUGAAGCUGUCUUGGCUAUGUUGUGUCAUGUGUACUAUUGUUUUUCUGUUUGUCUUUUUCAUUUUUAGCCAUGGCGUUGUCAGUUUGUUUUAGAUUUAUGAGUUUGACUGUCCCUUUGGUAUCUUUCGUCCCUCUUGGAUUGUUUGAAUGAAUGCUUUUGUCGAGCUUUCGACUUUAGUCGAAAAAGCGAGACUAAGCGAUCCUACAUUCCGUCGUCGUCGGUGUCGUCGUCGUCGUCGGCGGCGUCCACAAUAUUCACUCUGUGGUUAAAGUUUUUGAAUUUGAAACUUUCUCAAACGAUCCUGGAUUUCUACCAAACUGGACAGAAGCUUGUUUUAUGAUCAAAGAUAGUAUCCAGAAGUAAAUUUGUAAAAAUAAAUUCAUUUUUUCCGUAUUUUACUUAUAAUGGACUUGUUUUUCUGCUGGGAAAUAUUACAUUCACUCUGUGGUUUAAAGUUUUUUAAAAUUUUAAUAACUUCUUAAACUAUCCUGGGUGGUAUCAAACUUUGACAGUAGAUUGUUUAGAUCAUAAGAUAGUACCAGAAUAAAUUUUGUAAAAAUAAAAUUCCAUUUUUCCGUAUUUUACUUAUAAAUGGACUUAGUUUUUCUGCUGGGAAAUAUUACAUUCACUCUGUGGUUAAAGUUUUUAAAAUUUUAAUAACUUUCUUAAACUAUCCUGGGUUGGUAUCAAACUUUGACAGUAGAUUGUUUAGGAUCAUAAGAUAGUAUCCAGAAGUAAAUUUUGUUAAAAAAAAAUCCAUUUUUCUGUAUUUACUUUUAAAUGGACUUAGUUUUCUGCCAGGAAACAAUACAUUCACUCUGUGGUUAACUUUUUUAAAUUUUUAAAAACUUUCUUAUGCUAUUUGGAUUUGUAACCAAACAUGGACAGAAGCUUGUUUAUGAGUAUCUCUAGAAGGAAAUUUUGUAAAAAAAAAUCCCUUUUUCUGUAUUUUACUUUUAAGUGACUUACAUUGCUGCGAAACAGCACAUUCACUCUGUGUUUACUUUUAAAAAUUUAAUAACUUUCUUAUACUAUUUUGGAUUUGUACCAAACUUGGAAAAAGCUUGUUUAUGAUCAAAAGUAGUAUCUAGACGGAAAUUUUGUUUUCUUUUAGUUAACAUUUCAUUCAGUGUGCAUUAAAUUUUUUAAUAUUUAUUACAUAAACUAUCCUGAUUUUUACCUAACUUGGACAGAAGCUUCUUACAAUCAAAAGAUAGUAUCAACAGGAAUAUUUUAUUGAUUUGUUCCUCAUUUUUGUUAGCUCACCUGGCCGAAGGGCCAAGUGAGCUUUUUCCCAUCACUUUGCGUCGGCGUCCGUCGUCGUUGUUAACUUUUACAAAAUCUUCUCCUCUGAAACUGUGGGCCAAAUUAAACCAAACUUGUCCACAAUCAUCAUUGGGGUAUCUAGUUUAAAAAAAUGUGUCCAGUGUCCGCCCAACCAACCAAGAUGGCCGCAUGGCUAAAAAUAGAACAUAGGGUAAUGCAGUUUUGGCUUAUAACUCAAAAAACCAAAGCAUUUAGAGCAAAUCUGCAGAAGUAAAAUUGUUGAUCAGGUCACGAUCUAUCUGCCCUGGAUUAUCAGAUGAAUCGGAUAAUCGGUUGUUGGGUUGCUGCCCCUGAAAUGGUAAUUUUUAAGGAAUUUUGCUGUUUUUGGUUAUUAUCUUGAAUAUUAUUACAGAUAGAGAUAACUGUAAACAACAAUAAUGUUCAGCAAAGGAAGAUCUACAAAUAAAGUCUCAUAACCAAAAUGGUCAGAUGACCACUUAAGGAUUAUUGCCUUUAUAGUAAAUUUUUAACCUUUUUCGUAAUCUUUAGUAAUCGUUUAGAAAAAUCUUCUCCUCUGUACUACUGGCCAAAUUUAAACCAAACUUGGCCAUAAUCAUCAUUGGGGUAUCUAGUUAAAAAAAUUGUCCAGUGCCCCGCCCAACCAACCAAGAUGGCCACCAUGGCUAAAAAUAGAAACAUAGGGGGUAAUAUGCAGUUUUUGCUUACAACUCAAAAACCAAGCAUUUUAGGCAAAUCUGACAGGAAGUAAAAUUGUUGAUCAGGUCACGAUCUAUCUACCCUGGAUUUUCAGAUGAAUCGGAUAAUCGUUGUUGGGUUGCUGCUCCUGAAUUGGUAAUUUUUAAGAAAUUUUGCUGUUUUUGGUAUUAUCUUGAAUAUUAUUAUAGAUAGAGAUAAACUGUAAACAGCAAUAAUGUUUCAGCAAAGUGGAUCUACAAAUAAGUCAACCAUGUCCAAAAUGGUCAGUUGACCACUUAAGAGUUAUUGCCCUUUAUAGUCAAUUUUUAACCAUUUUUCGUAAAUCUGAGUAAUCUUUUAGAAAAUCUUCUCCUCUGAAACUACUGGGCCAAAUUUAACCAAACUUGGCAUCAUUGGGGUAUCUAGUUUAAAAAAAUGUGUCCGGUGACCCGCCAACCAACCAAGAUGGCCGCCAUGGCUAAAAAUAGAACAUAGGGGUAAAAUGCAGUUUUGGGCUUAUAACUCAAAAACCAAAGCAUUUAGAGCAAAUCCUGACAUGUGUAAAAUUGUUUCAUCAGGUCAAGAUCUAUCUGCCCUGAAAUUUUCAGAUGAAUCGGACAUUCGUUGUUGGGUUUGCUGCCCCUGAAUGGUAAUUUUAAGGAAAUUUUGCUGUUUUUGGUUAUUAUCUUGAAUAUCAUUAUAGAUAGAGAUAAACUGUAAACAGCAAUAAUGUUCAGCAAAGUAAGAUCUACAAAUAAGUCAUCAUGAAAAAUGGUCAGUUGACCCUUUAGGAGUUAUUGCCCUUUAUAGUCAACAUUUUUAACCAUUUUCGUAAAUCUUAGUAAUCUUUAGAAAAAUCUUCUCCUCUGAAACUACUGGACCAAAUUAACCAAACUUGGCCACAAUCAUCAUUUGGGUAUCUAGUUUAAAAAUGUGUCCAGUGACCCGCCAACCAACCAGAUGGCCACCAUGGCUAAAAAUAGAACAUGGGGUAAAAUGCAGUUUUUGGCUUAUAACUCAAAAACCAAAGCAUUUAGAGCAAAUCUGACAGGAAGUAAAAUUGUUUGAUCAGGUCAAGAUCUAUCUGCCCUGAAAUUUUCAGAUGAAUCGGACAACCCGUUGUUGGGUUGCUGCCCUGAAUUGGUAAUUUAAGAAAAUUUUGCUGUUUUUUGUUAUUAUCUUGAAUAUUAUUAUAGAUAGAGAUAAACUGUAAACAGCAAUAAUGUACAGCAAAGUAAAGAACUACAAAGAUAAGUCAGUAUGACCAAAUAGUCAAUUGACCCCUAAGGAGUUAUUGCCCUUCAAGUCAAAUUUUUAACAAUUUUCUUAAAAUUUGAAGAUUUCAAUAAAUUUUCCACAGAAAGACUGUUAUAGAUAGAGAUAAUUGUAAGCAGCAAGAAUGUUUAGUAAAGUAAGAUCUACAAACACAUCACCAUCACCAA